rnacentral:rRNA from 1 species
ACGGGGGGUGCGAGCGUUGUCCGGAAUCACUGGGCGUAAAGGGCGCGUAGGUGGCGUCGUAAGUCUGUGGUGAAAGCCCGGAGCUCAACUCCGGGUCUGCCGCGGAUACUGCGAGGCUUGAGUGCUGUAGAGGGGGGUAGAAUAUCGGGUGUAGCGGUGGAAUGCGUAGAGAUCCGAUAGAAGACCGGUGGCGAAGGCGGCCCCCUGGGCAGUAACUGACACUGAGGCGCGACAGCGUGGGGAGCAAACAGGA